rnacentral:sRNA from 1 species
CCUUAAGGAUGUUCGACUAAAAACGUCACGUCCUGUGACAACGUCGAACUGGCUUGCACAGG